UACAGAGGUCUCAAGCGUUGUUCGGAUUCAUUGGGCGUAAAGGGUGCGUAGGUGGCGGGGUAAGUCUGGUGUGAAAUCUCGGGGCUCAACCCCGAAACUGCACUGGAUACUGCCUUGCUCGAGUACUGGAGAGGAGAUUGGAAUUUACGGUGUAGCAGUGAAAUGCGUAGAUAUCGUAAGGAAGACCAGUGGCGAAGGCGAGUCUCUGGACAGUUACCGACGCUGAGGCACGAAGGCCAGGGGAGCAAACGGG
rnacentral:rRNA from 1 species